AUUUCAAAGUUGUCAGAAAAAGAGGAGCUCCAAUUGAAGAAUAAGAAACUGAUGGAUAAAAACCUCCAAUUGGUGGAAAAGAGAGUUUGAGAAAAGACUGAGCAGAAAGACAGCCAUAAUUUCAAAGAUGAUGUCAGAAACAGCAGAGCUUCGAAUGAAGAACGAGAAACUUAAGUUUUAAAAUCUUGAAAUAAUUGAAGAAAAAGGUGUUCUGCAAAGAUUUCAAAGAAAGACUGAGCAGGGGAGAAACUCUAAAUAGCAACCCUGACUUACUUUUCCAGAAAGGGGAAUCCAUGGAAUCACAGGGUCUUUGAUUCUUCCUCCAGCCUGGAGAAAGGAUGAUCCAGCCAGCAACAGUUGAAGAAAGCAGGUGAGUUGCAGGCACCACGUUCAUUCCUGUCCAAAGCUGCUACACAGCCUAAGAAGAGAGAGAGAAACCAUGUGAUAAAAAAGCAUCGACCAUAUUGAGUGAUAGAGGAAAAACCCAGAUUUGCAGAAACUCAAGCAUCUCAUAAUCCAACCCUUCACACCACCAACCUGCUGCAGCAUAAUAAAACUGACAACUGUUUGCAACUGUUCCACAACACACAUAGCCUCGAUGCCCUCUUCGAACAUCAAAGUUGCAGUUCAAUAGCAGAAAGAUCCAUUCUUGAAGUGACGAAGAUGAUCCAAGUAUUUAAAAGCAUAAAUAUCAGGAUUUACUCUAUUUAAGGUCAGAAGAUUAGAACAGAGCAACUAUAACAUUUAUAUGUAAUAAUUGAAAGUUGUAGAUGGGACAACUGAAGGCACUUGAGAUAGAGUGGAAGUUUCAUCCAUUGUUCAUCCUUGGCUAAACGACGGUGGGGGUCAAGACAUGACAGCUCCUCUACUGUUAGGUCACCUGCAUGGAGAAAAAAGGUGAGACAAACACACCUUUAAUGAAUCCGUCCCCAUUUUCAACCAACCCAAUUUUCACUGGAAAUUGUAGAAACGCCUACUGGACUUGAAAGAGACAGAAAGAAAUCCAUUGUAUUGUUGCCAAAAUGUCUGGCAGAACCAUUCCCCGUCUCCCCUUGGGCCCAUCAAUGCAAGUAUUGGCAGCAAGACAUCCCAUCCAGGGAUUCCUAGUCCACCAUCAAGUGGAAUGAAAGGAAAAAGAACCCUGCCUCUCUGCUCUUUUCUCCCAAGAGGUUUUAAAAUGUUGGGGUCCCAAAAACAGUGGGGGACUCAAAGUUUACAAUCUUAUUUUCAUUUUGCUACAUACAUUGAUCCUAGUUUGAUGGUCCCACAAUAGAGUAGCUGAUUCCAGGCAGAUGAGAAGCAUUGCCAGCUGUGUUCCUCAAAAGUCCUGUGGAACAAAAAAGAUCCCUUUGCUUCCUGUUCUCAGGAGUCUCAUGGUCAAAACACACACGUGUAAUUUAGGGUAUGUUCAUUAGGCCUUUAAAGCCGUCCUCUACCUCUAUGGCUACUCCCAGCUUCUUAAAUCCCAGGCUCUUUGAAAGGAGGAUGCUUUGGGAUGGCAUUUCAAGCAAAGGACCCUAUAACCUGUUUUGGUUUCUUAUCUGCAAUUCUGGCCAUGGAGCAUUACAAUUAAAGAGGCCUCUUUGUGAAGAAGUUCCUGCGUGAAGAGAAACAGCUCUUGUGACAACCAAAUUCCCAUGCUACCUGCUAUCCUCAAGAAUAAUCCCCCAUUUAGAUUGUUCCCAUAUAUUGGAACAUUUCACUGGAGUUCUAAUACCUGAUUCAGUGAACGUUUGUACAGGUCCAGUUUUCCUGCAAGCUUCCCUGGGACUUUGAAACCCUUACCUUCAAAAUAAAAAUUAAAUGAUCCGUUGCUGCAGACUGCUGAAGAAGGCCCCAGAGCAUGAAGUCAAAGGCCUCCUCCAGCAAUUUCUUCUUUCGCCGAAAUAAAAAAACAAAGGUGAAGACUUGUGGAAUGUUUUCCCAGGCGUUCCAAUACCAGAAAGGAAGUCCCAGAAAUGUUGCUGAAGUUGGUACCUCUGAAACAUUCUCACCAAUUUUCAUGGAGGACAGCCACAUGAACCCACAGAUCUCCAGGAGAGGAGAAUCAAUGCGUGGGUCCAUGGCUGGUGGAACUUCGCUGAGAGAUCAAAGAAGAGAAGAGACCUCAGUGCCCAUCUUAAUGAAUUUCCCUCUGGUUUAUUUUACUCAAGACAGUAGCAGGCAAAAGAAAGAAAAGGCUGACCUGAUCUCAUAAAUAGCAAGUAAUGCAGCUAGUCCUGCUGUGAAGCUGCUAUUUUUCUCCAUCAGAGCUUGGCAGGGAACAAGAGUGGAGAGAAGCAAGGGAAAGUCAGCCAGACUGCUCCAGCACUCCCCUUUCUAUUUUUCCCAGCCUCUUUUGACUUGCUCAUUUCCUACAGCAAAGGGAAUUAGCCCCAGGUUAAGGACCCUUUGCAUAGGCCACAUUUUGACAGUCCAGGGGCAGCUUUUCUCUCCCCCCCAUCCCUGCUCCUAUCUCUGUCCUGCUUUGUUUGCCUCCAAUUGCCACCUGCCUCCCUCUUACUUACCAAGACGGCAAGGCUGUAGAGGUCCUUGUUUCUUGGCUUUGGGACUAUCCGCUCUGCCUGUUUGCCCACUCUGCUUCAGCUGAAACAGAGUGGCAAUGGAAGAAAGGCCUUGAACGAAGCUGCUCUCCUGCUGCAACUGAAAACAGUCAGGCUGUAAGUUGGUGGGGCUGUGGGGCAUCUUGACCCCUGGGUCCUCCCUUUCAGAAGGGAAGGUUGAAACCAUUUUGGGUCUCUGUUCAUUCUGAGGAAUAUUUUUGCACCCCUCUGAGAAUGGGAUUCACACUUGGGAGAAAGGCUUAGCUAUGGGACCCUUUAAUUCCAAGGGGUAUCUACUUGUUGGCCUGUUUUCGUUUUCCUCUCAUGGACCUCUUCCCAUAAACUUUGGCUCUUCCGUUGGUCCCUUAUAUGGCAGGCAGCCUAGCAAGGUGCAUUCUCUUCUUUUGUGAUGUCCCUUUUGGUGAAGAGAAUAUUGUUCUUCAUGGUCCUGGCCUUUGUCGUGAAAUCUGGGAAAGGAGAGGCAGGUGUUUAACAAAGUUUUAGGUCUCCCCCAGAUGAAGACUACCCCCUCCAAAAUCAGGCUCCUCUUUGCAGCCCAAGGUUCCCUAGACACAGGAGCUGCAGGAAGAGGGGUGCUUAGUGGGUCAAGAACAGCUUGACCGCUAAUCUGUCCCUCUGUGCAGCCUUGUAUCUUCAAAGAUGCAGAUUUGUGUCCUGUAUAUCCCUGCAUCUAGGUGUCCACUCCAAAAGGAAAUCCUUCCCUUUCCCUCUCAAGGUCACAGCCCAAUCCAAAGCGUCCACUCACCACAUCGCUCCGCUUUCUGGACCUCCACAUCCACGAUAAACCUGACAAGCUUUCUCCCAGAAGCCUUGGUGCUGCCCUCCAGUUGGCAGGUUGGAGAACUUGGAACAUCAGCUCCUGAAUCCCUCACCUUCUUCCUUUUCCCUCCAAAGCAGGAGAAAUACCUGAAAAAAGCCCUAGAAGAGAGAAAAGGGAAUGUGAGGAAAGGGACCAACUAAAGCCUACUUUCCAUAAUCACUUUAAUUCAAGAAACUAGAAUAGAAAAAUGAUACUCUUGGCUUGAGCUCAUCACUUUUAACCUUAGUUUGGUUUUACAUGAUGGGAUGUGUUCCACAACCAUGUGAGUUUCUUAAAUUUUUAAAAGAUUUUCCUAAUUCACAGGUUAAGGCUGCUAAGUUAUCCCAACCAAUUGGAAAGUACUCAGCUAAGUCUUUUAGUGCCAAUAAGGAAUUAAAGAUAAUGUGUUGCUCUGGAACACAUUUGUCUCUCCCCCCCUCCCAUUCCCCAUUCCUAAGAGGACAACAAAUGGCUUUUUUUACCAUUGGAAUGUCCCAAUCGUCUGUGAAGUUGGCUACAAGAUGGGAAAGUUCUCUAGAGCCAAGCAGGCUUUCUGAAAACCUACUUACAUCCUGGAAGCCAUCUUCAGUCUGAUCACUGACAACUGACAGUUGUGCUGGCUAGAUGACAGGCCUCCCUUGGGAUCCAAUCAAAGCACCUUUCCUACACACGCCAAUGCCAGCCCAAGGAACCUACUAACAAAUCACCAAAGCUAUCUAUUUCUUAUACUUUGGCACAAAGGCAUGGAUCUUUGGUUGUAGACAGCCUCUUUAUGUGGAAGUGCCACUAAGCUAGCUGACUCAGCAAGACUCACUGAUUGGGGGCAGGGAGAAGACAGAACCAGUGGUGAAAUUCAAAUUUUUUUUACUACCGGUUCUGUGGGCGUGGUGUGGCUUGGUGGACAUGGCAGAGGAAGGAUCCUGUAAAAUCCCCAUUCCCUCCCCACUCAUGGGGGAAGGAUAUUGCAAAAUCUCCAUUCCCACCCCACUCUCGGGCCAGCCAGAGGUAGCAUUUGCUGGUUCUCUGAACUACUCAAAAUUUCUGCUACCAGUUCUCCAGAACCUGUCAGAACCUGCUGGAUUUCACCUCUGCAGAGAACAGACAUUCUACCCAAUAAAAAUAUUGUAUGGCUUAAUGAAGCUGAGCCCCAAAUUAUAGGACCCUCUUUUAGACAAGUUCCAAAGUUCAGGGAUCCUGCUUUUUUCAGAAAGCCAAAGAAUCAAGACUUCUUUUUUUCACAAGAGGCCUAGAUCUUCCAAGGUAGCCUGUCCUUUAGUACUGAAGCUCUAUAAGCUGCCCACUUGAGUGAGUUAUCAUGACAGCUUUCUUCCAGUUGUUUUUUCUAACUACCCCUUUGGCUCACACCAUAGCUGAGUUGCCACCAUUCUUUCUAAUUGCUAUUUUUUCCACAUUGGGAUAAAAUUGUUAUUAAAUAGUUGGUUGAUUUUUUGUAAAAGAAUCAUUUUCUAGAUAUUUGAAGGAUAUCCUUUCUACCUCCUGAGUUUGGGAAUUGCUCAGAAUCAUAAUUGGUAAUUUGAAUCUGGGCUUUGGCAAUAUUCUUUAUUUGAAGUACCCUUUUGGAAAAGAAGCUACUAGCCUUAAAACCUUUCUUCAAGUUAUCAAUUUGGAAACACCAACUCUCAUUCCAUUUCUAAUUUUUUUGUCCAUGAUUCUCAUUAGUUCACUUCCUCCCCCUCCCCUCCUUUCCCCUCUCAUCCCAUUUAUUCCGAUAGAGAGCUAGAUUCACAUGAUGGGUGAGAUCCUUUCUCUGCUCCAGUUUAGGGGACUACUAUAUUCAUUUUUAGUAACCUACUUCCCAAUUUGCAUUGCCUUUGCAUUAACCACCUGCAAUACAUUGCCAUUCUCUAUUUUCCCUUAUUUCUUGGUUAAUACAAACCAGAGGUCCCCAAACCCCGGACCACCCCCACUACUGGGCUGGUCCACUGCUUGCAUGGGACAAUUCCCCUCCUCACUGGGCCAUCAAAUCAUAAAGGUUGGGGACUGCUAAUAUAAAUUACAUCAAACAACACCCAAUAUAUUCUUCCCAUAAGUCGAAGGAUUACCUUGUCAAAUCUUCUAAAGAUAUACUGUAUGAAACUUAAUUAAAACAAACCACCCU